GAGCUGAGAAUAAGAUAUUGAGUGAGCCCAUUGUUAUGUUUGAUUCGGAUGGUUUACAUCCUUAGUUGAGGCAUUACUGCAGAUCUAUCUCCAGAACCCUGUGACUCAAAUAUAAGCUGCAAGCCAGAAAGAAUAUGCUUUAUUGUAUCUCCCUUCCUUGAUAUUUUUUCUUCUUUACCUAUGAUAUUUCUUUCGCAGAACCUGCUUUUGUUCCUUUCUCUGGGUGGUGGUUGGGAUCAUUAUCUAGCCCCUCCUGUUUCUAAUUGAUGUUACAUUUCAGCUCCUCUAGGAUUAUAGCCAGCAAUGUACAUAAUAGAUGAAGAUAAAAAAUUGUUUAUGCUUCAAAUGUUUUAGUGGACAUAUAACCAGGUAUUUUAUUCCUUGGCAUUAUAGCUAAUUAGUUAUAUACUUCCUAUUCUGUACCUAGAUUGCACAUAUAAUUGAUCUACUGGUUGCCUCUUUUGUUUACCUAAAUAUAGCAUCGAAAACGCGUCCAAUAAGUAUAUCAAGCGUCCUUUUUCUGUUUAUUUUUCUUUCUUUUACAGUAUGAAAUAAAGAGAGGAACCAAUAUGUUGUGAGAUCUUCAGCAUAAUUUUACACAUCGGACAUUUGAUCAAAGACCAAUUACUUGACUUGAGACAUCUAUGCUUGACAAUACUCUUAUACAAUUUUAUCUAUGGUGGUGAUAUGACGAGUGUCUUCUUUUUCGUUGGCGGUCAAUUUUAUCAAAUACUCUUAUACAAUUUUACUUUUUAGUAGUUUUGGACACUCAAAAGUCUGGUGAAAAAAGGCCUUGGUAGUGCUGAUUUGUAGGUUUGCUUCGCUACGCCGAAGGUGCAGUUCCCUCAGGGCUCAAGCUGAGUUUACCCUUCUGGCUAAUACGGCAACAUGUCAUUUUGUUCGAUGUCUAUUCUUGCUUGCUGGUGGUGAUAUGACGAGUGUCUUCUUUUUCGUUGGCGGUCAAUUUUAUCAAAUACUCUUAUACAAUUUUAUUUUUUAGUAGUUUUGGGCACUCGAAAGUCUGGUUGCCUAACCACGUGCUAUUCAUUUUGGUGUUUGGCCCUCCCAAGGAGGUAACAUAUACAUGUUGCUCAUACUGGAUUUUCUUUUAUAACUUGGUCUAUGUAACCUAUUUUAGAGUAUAUAAAGCCUGGGCCACGAGUCCUUCCGUUUAAAAGGGAUAUAAAUAGUUCUAAAAAAAGGGAUAUAAACCAUCCAGCCAAACGUCAUUCCACAAGGAACAAUCACCUAGAUUUUCUGUGCAUGUUGUAACUCCUUUGUAAAUAAUAAACAUGGCUAAUUAAUUGACGCGGUUAGCUGAGUUCCUGUUAGGAUGUUGUAGUAUCCAAAUAUGUUCAAGUUCGUUCAAAAAAAAAUCUGGCUAGGUGAGUGCAAGUUUGUUUGGCUUCAGAGUCACAGAGUAAUGCAGAAUGUGUCCUUGCGUAAUUUUCAUACGUUAUGAGACAUCUGCGUUGUUUCCUUACGGGUGGAGCCUCAGCCUCAUUUCGUCCAAACCAAGUUAUAAAAUACUCCAGCAAUAAUGCCCUUUAGUUGUCACUUACAAAAGAUGAAAAGAGCUCAGUUCAGCAACCUAUUUUUGUAACUGAUUCAUACUGCUGACUGAACUUAAUAAAGCUUACAAAUGAAUAGAAGGAUAGAUCACAGCAGACGAAAUUCUAUAAAGUGGCUAAGUUGCAACUUAUGUAUAAAAGCAAAAUUGCUAUGUUUUCCUGAAUUUUCUUAGUCGGAUUUCCGUUGCAGUGAGCAAGAAAAGAACGUCUGCAACGAGGCGGAUCAUAUUGAGUGGUGUAAGAUCGAUGAUUGUAUGAGAAAUCCUCUGGCUGGCUUCUGAAGAAACUGAUGUCAUGUUCACAUGUUAGAACAUGGAUAGGUACUUCUGGAUUGUCCCUAAAUCCUGGGCAGAGGCAUACCAAAGAAUUUCUUCUGAUUGGUUAUCAUUUCUACACUCACCUGCAUGGUUAAAAUUCAGGUUUAGCUGGUUGAGCCUCCAAAAUAUGCAGUCGCGGGGGAGAAGCUGACCUUUGCUGGGUACUCGGGCUGAGCGUCGGAAGAUGAUGAGGAAGCAAUCCUAAACAAAAAACCAUAUUAGCAAUGUCGUGUUACAAACAGAGUCUAAGUUUGCUUGCCACUAUGAACACCGGAACUCACUCUGUUAGGCUCUUUGACCGUGCAAUGGUGCUUCUUUGGAAACUCCAUAUUAGCAAUGUCACUGGCAUCUUAUCUGAUUGCUGCAAUAGGCCUUUCUUUUUUAUAGAGUGCCAUGUUGUUUCUAGGAAAAAUCUGAACAUACUCUUUACAGUAUAUAAAGAAAAUGCAUGUUGCAUGGUCAAAGUUAAGUGACCCUGGUGAAUUUUUUUUAUUUCG